GAAUUUUGCGCAAUGGGCGAAAGCCUGACGCAGCAACACCGCGUGGGGGAUGAAGGCUCUUGGGUCGUAAACCCCUUUUGCCGGGGAAGAUCAUGACGGUACCCGGCGAAUAAGCCACGGCUAACUACGUGCCAGCAGCCGCGGUAAUACGUAGGUGGCAAGCGUUGUCCGGAUUUAUUGGGCGUAAAGCGCGCGCAGGCGGUCCGUUUAGUCCGAGGUGAAAUCUCCCGGCUCAACUGGGAGGGGGCUUCGGAUACUGGCGGACUUGAGGAGAGCAGAGGUGAGCGGAAUUCUCGGUGUAGUGGUGAAAUGCGUAGAUAUCGAGAGGAACACCAGCGGCGAAGGCGGCUCACUGGGCUCCACCUGACGCUGAGGCGCGAAAGCGUGGGGAGCGAACCGG
rnacentral:rRNA from 1 species